GAGAGCGUGGUGUAACGGCUAGCACGGCGGACUUUCUAUUCGCAAACGAGGGUUCGAUUCCCUUCGCUCUUA
rnacentral:tRNA from 1 species